ensembl:misc_RNA Vault Vault RNA
GGGCUGGCUUUAGUCCAGCAGUUCCUUCGAGUCUGGCUUCCACAACCGCCCGGGGCCAAUUGGCCCAGUGGUUCAAGACCCACGGGCGCACUCCAGUCCUUUU